UACGGAGGGUGCGAACGUUAAUCGGAAUCACUGGGCGUAAAGCGCGCGUAGGCGGUUCGUUAAGUGGGAUGUGAAAUCCCCGGGCUUAACCUGGGAAUUGCAUUUCAAACUGGCCGACUAGAGUACGGUAGAGGGAGGUAGAAUUCCCUGUGUAGCGGUGAAAUGCGUAGAUAUAGGAAGGAAUACCAGUGGCGAAGGCGGCCUCCUGGAUCGAUACUGACGCUGAGGCGCGAAAGCGUGGGGAGCAAACAGG
rnacentral:rRNA from 1 species